rnacentral:rRNA from 1 species
CGUAGGGUGCGAGCGUUAAUCGGAAUUACUGGGCGUAAAGCGUGCGCAGGCGGUUUUUUAAGACAGGCGUGAAAUCCCCGGGCUCAACCUGGGAACUGCGCUUGUGACUGGAAGGCUAGAGUACGGCAGAGGGGGGUGGAAUUCCACGUGUAGCAGUGAAAUGCGUAGAGAUGUGGAGGAACACCAAUGGCGAAGGCAGCCCCCUGGGUCGAUACUGACGCUCAUGCACGAAAGCGUGGGUAGCAAACAGGAUUAGACACCCUGGUAGUCCACGCCCUAAACGAUGUCAACUAGGUGUUGGGAGGGUAAAACCUUUUAGUACCGGAGCUAACGCGUGAAGUUGACCGCCUGGGGAGUACGGCCGCAAGGUUA